GGCGCUGUGGCUGAGUGGUUAUAGCGAUAGACUAGAAAUCUAUUUCCUUCGGGAGCGCAGGUUCGAGUCCUGCCGGCGUCG
rnacentral:tRNA from 4 species